rnacentral:rRNA from 1 species
UACAGAGGCCUCGAGCGUUAGGCGGAAUCACUGGGCUUAAAGCGUGUGUAGGCGGAUCGUUAAGUGUCUUGUGAAAUCCCACGGCUCACCCGUGGAACUGCUGGGCAUACUGGCGAUCUUGGGCCGUUCAGGGGCGACUGGAACAAGCGGUGGAGCGGUGAAAUGCGUAGAUAUCGCUUGGAACGCCGAAGGUGAAAACAGGUCGCUGGGGACGCGCCGACGCUGAGACACGAAAGCCAGGGGAGCAAACGGG